rnacentral:rRNA from 1 species
GACGAACGCUGGCGGCGUGCUUAACACAUGCAAGUCGAACGGAAAGGCCCUGCUUUUGUGGGGUGCUCGAGUGGCGAACGGGUGAGUAACACGUGAGUAACCUGCCCUUGACUGUGGGAGAACUUCAGGAAACUGGGGCUAAUACCGGAUAGGAGCUCCUGCUGCAUGGUGGGGGUUGGAAAGUUUCGGCGGUUGGGGAUGGACUCGCGGCUUAUCAGCUUGUUGGUGGGGUAGUGGCUUACCAAGGCUUUGACGGGUAGCCGGCCUGAGAGGGUGACCGGCCACAUUGGGACUGCGAUACGGCCCAGACUCCUACGGGAGGCAGCAGUGGGGAAUAUUGCACAAUGGGCGGAAGCCUGAUGCAGCAACGCCGCGUGCGGGAUGACGGCCUUCGGGUUGUAAACCGCUUUCGCCUGUGACGAAGCGUGAGUGACGGUAAUGGGUAAAGAAGCACCGGCUAACUACGUG